AUGGCCUUAACGAAAACUAAAGCCCACACAGGUUUUGACACAGCCGCAAAAAACCCUAAUUCUAAUCACUCCUAUAAAACCCUAGCCACCAUCCCAAAUUCCCAAUUCUCAUCUCUUCACCAUUUCUGAAACUUUUCUCCCUCUAAAACCCUAGUUUUUUUUCUUCUUGAAAUUUAUAUUUGCAUCUUCUGAACAAGGUUUUAUAAAUUAUAUAAAAAAGAGAAAGAUCGCGGUGAUGACUCACGAAAUUCAAGCUCAACAGACCGGAAUGCAGGGUUUUUCUUUAUAGAGAAAGACUUUGCGUGUCGAUAUUCCCGCUGAACUGAGUGAUCUUUCUCUUUAUGUUACUUUUUUGUUUGUCUUAUUGAGAUUGCAAUGAGGAUUUACAGCUCCCUCUUCUGAUUCAAAGUUGAGGAAAUUAGCUGGCAGAAUCGAACCAAUUUAAUUUCAAGCCAUCACUGAGUAAUCUCUGUGUUUUUCAGUUUUCAAGUUUAUUUUGCUUUUUUUUUUAAAAAAAAGAAAUGGUUUUUUUUGUGUGUGGGAAUUUUGGACGGUACAGUGAGGACUUACAGCUCCCUCUUCUGACCCUUUCCCUUUAAUUAUCUUGAGUUUCUGUUUGAUUUAAUUUUUAUUUGGUGUGUGAUUCGAUGCUGUUAAUGAUGAUUAUGAUGAAGCAAAUAAUACUAUUAUCCAACACUUGAUCUGAGACAUUUACUGUUGAUUGAUGUCUAAAAUAUCUGCUUCUGAAUCUGCUAGUGAUUUUUUUAAUUUCUUAUUUUUGUUCUUAUUUUAUGGUUUCUGAACUGGGUUUUGACUUUGGAUUAUAACCCUUGUUUGUAGCUGUAAUUUAGCUGAUUUGUCUGGUUAAUAUUGGUGAUUUUCUUUGAUGCCUUUCCAUAGAAAGUAAAAUCAUUGCCUUUGUUUUGACUGAAUUUGGGUCGGUUAAAAUGAACUCAAUCUCUCUCGCUUAGUAUUUCUUCUUAUUUAGGUGCCCAGUAUUUGAUCGAGUCUUUUUGCUGAAUUCUGACUUAGCUUUGUCAUGCCUAUCAAUGCAACAUGAAUUCCUGAUAGAAAUGCAACAUAUGUAAAUCGUUGAUGCAUAGUGCUUAUUUUUAUGAUUUUUACUGAAUCAUCAAUUGAUGAAAAUUGGAAAAAUCUUAGGACACCUUCCUACAUAGCUUUCCUAGCUAUGGAUGAGAAUAAAAUUUCCAUUCUGAUGAUGAUUCUGGCCAUCCUCUUUUAGUUACAUUGUUUUGUUAUUUGUGUGUUCUGUUUUUAAGAAGUCAGCGUAUACUGAAUGGUUCUGUUGAUUUCCUUAACCCAGUAUGUGCACAUUUCAUGGAAUUCUCCUCUUGGGGAUCGCAAUGAUGACAUUUAAAAUUCAAGCUCAACAGACCGGAUCACAAUCUUUCUUUCUGAAAGCUUGUAUGGCGAUAACCGCUGAACUGAGCGAUCUUUGUUUUAAAGUAUUUAGUUUAAUCUUCUGUUUAAAUAAACUCACAAUAGACUUGCCAACAAGAGGACCUGUAAACUUGGAUUGGAACGCAUCUUGUCAGCGUGUUUGCAUAUUUCAGCCAUACAUAUCAAGUUGAGGAAACAAUUUGUCUUUAUAUGUUAAACGAUAAUUCAAGAUGCUGGACAAUCAUCUGGGAAAGAAAUUGAGUUAUAAAGCAGAUAUGCAUAUUUUUCCGGUACAAGGACCUGGAAAUGACAAGUUUCGGAUCUUGUUUAAAUUCUGUAAAAUCAGAAGUCUUUUGUUUGUUGCCUGCCAGGGGGCCGCAUUGUGCAUCGAAACUUUGAUUUGGAUUACCUUGAUGCCCUCAAGCUAUGUAUUCAGUUGUAUUGUUGUAUUAUCAGGAUAAUGUUGCGAAAGAAUAAUAAAGUUUGAAAAUCCAUGAACGUA